GGGCCAAAGCUCAGUGGUAAAGCAUCUGCUUUGUAUGUAGAAGGUCUCUGGUUCAAUCCCCAAUGGCAUCU